rnacentral:rRNA from 1 species
AGGCCUAACACAUGCAAGUCGAACGGUAACAGGAAGCAGCUUGCUGCUUCGCUGACGAGUGGCGGACGGGUGAGUAAUGUCUGGGAAACUGCCUGAUGGAGGGGGAUAACUACUGGAAACGGUAGCUAAUACCGCAUAACGUCGCAAGACCAAAGAGGGGGACCUUCGGGCCUCUUGCCAUCAGAUGUGCCCAGAUGGGAUUAGCUAGUAGGUGGGGUAACGGCUCACCUAGGCGACGAUCCCUAGCUGGUCUGAGAGGAUGACCAGCCACACUGGAACUGAGACACGGUCCAG